GGAGCUUUUUUAACCUAACAGCACAACGAGUGAAUAUUCUGAGUAGGAUUAGUAACAAAGCAGUUGUUAAGGAAGCAACUCUCAGUGUUAGUCUCUAGGCCUCGCCUAAAGAGGAAACUCUUGAACCUCCGAUUUUUCUCUUUCAAGAACUCUUAACACAGUCUUUCUGCACCAGGAGAUCCUCCAGAACAGCACCGUCAGCCUCCACACAGCCUAGCCAUGCUCUCGGUGACCCUCCUCCUGUUUGGGAUGCCCUUCACCCUGAGAGGAAGCGGAGCCCAGUCAGUGGCUCAGCCUGACCGCCACGUUGCUGUCUGGGAAGGGGACCCUCUGCUGCUGAGGUGCGACUAUACCUAUAGUGGAACACCUUAUCUCUUCUGGUACGUCCAGUAUCCCGGUCAAGGCCUCCAGUUUCUCCUCAGAUACAUGUCGGGUGACCCUGUGGUUACAGGCAUCAGAGACUUCAAGGCUGAAUUUAAGAAGAGUGAAACCUCCUUCCACCUGGAGAAAGCCUCAGCCCACUGGAGUGACACAGCCACGUACUACUGUGCUGUGAGUGGCACAGUGGCUGGGGCUGCAAGGGGAGCUGAACACAAACCUCCUGAGAUUUCCUGUGACUGCAGGAAGCAGUUUGUAGCUAAAUUUCUCUUGUGAAAAGCGAGCACGAAUGAGGAGCAGAGAUAUGGGAUCUGUUGGAUUCCUGAAAAGCAAUAGGAACAUCUACAAUUCUUUCUUUCACUACUGGGCCAUGUCAGACAAGACGUAGGACAGACUCUCGUGGAUGUUCUCCUUUUGGUUAGAAAUCCUGAAUUCUACAGGGUUAGGGUUCUGAUUUAGUGUAACCAGUGCUGAAAUUUUGAUCUUUCUGUUCGCACCUUUAAAAUGCUCCUUUUGCUUUUCACCUCCCAGCAAUUCCUUUUGUUCAGUAUUUCUGGCUGACACCUCAGAGUUAUUUUUGGAUUUUAUUAUUAUUUUUCUCUAACUCCUCGCAUUGCAUCCAUUAAGCAAUUGAGUUUUCUUACUUAAUUUAACCCAUAAAGUAGCUACUGCUACAUCCUUGGUCAAACAGUGAUAGCCUUGUACUUGAUCUUCCUGUUUCUUCUCUGACACUGCAUUCCUAAUACAGCAGGCAUGAGGUACCAGUGAUCUCCUUUAAAUCAGAGAUCAUGUCACCCUCUGGUAAAAUC